UAACAUAGAAGUAAAAAAUUUACAAUUAGUUUCGACCUAAAAUUAGAGUUUAGUCUCCAUGUUUU
rnacentral:tRNA from 1 species